UAAAUUUCUGCUCAUUUUCAAUUAUCCAGUCUGUGGUAUUCUUUUAUAUCAGCACAGAACGGACUAAAAUGUUAUCUCUUGGUUGACAUACCCCUUAAUCAUGGUUCUCAUCUUUUCCAGCCAGGCAAAAUGACACUUUCAGCCAUGAAGAAAUGUUCCCUAUCUUUCCAUCUUCUCAAUUCAAGGACCUCGCUUUUCCUGCUAAUUAUUCUAGCAGAUUUUCAAUGCCCUCUCAGCAAAAGCAAUACAUUUUCUGGCCCUAUAUUUUGCAGAAAUCACCUCAUAAAUUAUUCAAUGCACAAUUAAACAAAAACUUUAUUUCUGCAUUGCUCAAUAUAUAUAUGUAUAUAUUGAGCCAGUUAAAAUUGUGCAUUCAGAGUACAUUGUCUGGAAGGUCAUCCAUGUUGUUGCUUUUCAUUAUGACUGACAUGCAGGAACCACACCAGAAAUCCUAAAGGUGAUAAUAAUUAUCAUUCACUAUGGAAUAAACCUAAAACAUUGUUGAGAUUUGUUGUUUACAGGCAAGAGUGCAAAACUCAGCUUCACCUCUUCCUAGAAGUGCCACCUAAAACUAGUUCCCUUCUCUCCCUCAACUUGGGCUUGGGGCCAUGUAGUGCAUACACACCUCUGGGGUUUUCUGAAAGACUGUAGACUUCAGUGCAAAAUGCCCAGCCCAGUGCCUAGCUCAAGAUACUCAGUCAAGAGUCAUUAAUAUUCUAAGUAAUGUUAAGGAAAAUAUCAGAAAAUACACACUAAAAUAUGGUUAAGGAAAAUUCCAGAAUGGAGCCACUUUAUUUGACCCAACAGAGACAUGACAUGUUUAGAAGUCUUCUGUUUGCAUGAACUAUUGGGAAAGCAGCUACAAGUUGAUGUCGGAUCCUGUUUAAAUGCUGAAGUACAUAUACUAAUUCUCCUGUUUCUGUGUCAGACUCUCUGCAGGAGGAUCAAGGAGUAAUAAAAAGAGCAGAAUAUCUGCAGCUGCCAAGACCUCAGCUCUAAUUCUAGAUUUGCAGCCCAUGGCUGCACAAUAGGCACAAGAAUGAACCAAUACCACCACCAAGGAAAGUGGCACAGCUGAGCUGUACCCACAUCUGACUCCAAUGGACCAACUUUUGACAGCUAUUCACAUCAUCUGCUUUCUUUCCCUCAUCUACCUCUGCUAAUGAGCGUAUAGGAGGUCAUCUAGCCUGUCAACACUCACUGGGGCGUCUGUCUCAUUUCUUCCACCAGAUGGUGAAUCAUGUUCAAUGAUCUCCCUCCUGCCAGUCAAUCCUGAGGCCUGGACAUACCCACAGAAGUGAGUUAUAUUGAUUGCGGUAAGCUAUUAAAAUAAAAUAUGCUUUCCUUGAAUGUGAUGCAGGUAAAUCCAGUCAGGAAACAACUGUUUAUGUAUUUAUGAGAUAGACCAAGAGUCCUGCAAAGUGGCAUGGUCAAAGUCGACACGUCAUUUCCUAGGGGAAAUCUUGCAUCAGAUUUCACCACACAUCUGUUUUAUAAACUCUGACAGCAUCUGACUUUUAUAGUACUGAUCAUAACUGCAUUAUCAAUUGGUUAUUGGCAUAAUUAUUCAUUGAAACUUUGCCUUAAUUACUGAAAUUUUUAUUAAACUCUUUUUACCUUGUUUGGCAUAUAGAAUAUGCCCCUUAUUAAAUAAAGGCAUGGAUGAGAUUAUCUAUAUAAUAGGUGAUGUACUAAGCAAACCAGCUCUCAAAAUACACACACACCUAUUAAUGGUGUUUGCCAAUUCCCAUGGUGUAAAUUCUCCCACUAUGUUCAUUUCGAGCUACAAACGGUUGGACAGAUGGCUCACACAAUUCCUGGAUGUUUCAUGGUUAGCUCCUAAAAGUCAGAAUGAGCCCAUUCCAGAGCACUGCUCAUGCAUAAAGGUGUGAGGAUGCCCUUGCUCAAUUUCAACAACCUUUCUCAAAAACAGAGUACACUUAGUAAUCUAGACUUGGGAAGAUUCUUCUUAAAGGCGAUGAACAUUUUCUUUUGGCUACAGGUUGCACAUUUUCUUCAACACAGAAGUCCUUGUUGUUUUAUUUUUUAGACAAUCUGCUAAAAUCAGAACCAGAGUUCUGAGCAUUACCUACAAAAGACUGUCCUAGGGACAUUUUUCUUCUCUAAGAAUCAGAAACAUUGCCAACCACAACUUUGGAAAGCGGCCAGUAGAAUAAAACAAGAAAAAGAAGCCAGAGAUAUAACUAUGGGAAGAGAGGGAAAGCUAUAUUUUUUCACAGGCAAUAUGACCAAUUAAGUAGUUCAGCCGAAAAAGAUGCAAAUAAACAAGACCUUCCCAAGAAAGUUUAGCAAAAGCGUUCAAGGCUUCUACAAAGACGCUGAAAACCUGGAAACAUAUAUGUCCUUGCAUGGGAAAACACAAUGUUAUAAAGAAUACAUACUAAAAAUUUGAUUCAUCUUUUAGAAGAAAU